rnacentral:rRNA from 1 species
GAUGAACGCUAGCUACAGGCUUAACACAUGCAAGUCGACGGUCAUCAGGAAGAAAGCUUGCUUUCUUUGCUGGCGACCGGCGCACGGGUGAGUAACACGUAUCCAACCUGCCCUUUACUCGGGGAUAGCCUUUCGAAAGAAAGAUUAAUACCCGAUGGCAUAAUGAUUCCGCAUGGUUUCAUUAUUAAAGGAUUCCGGUAAAGGAUGGGGAUGCGUUCCAUUAGGUUGUUGGUGAGGUAACGGCUCACCAAGCCUUCGAUGGAUAGGGGUUCUGAGAGGAAGGUCCCCCACAUUGGAACUGAGACACGGUCCAAACUCCUACGGGAGGCAGCAGUGAGGAAUAUUGGUCAAUGGGCGCUAGCCUGAACCAGCCAAGUAGCGUGAAGGAUGAAGGCUCUAUGGGUCGUAAACUUCUUUUAUAUAAGAAUAAAGUGCAGUAUGUAUACUGUUUUGUAUGUAUUAUAUGAAUAAGGAUCGGCUAACUCCGUGCCAGCAGCCGCGGUAAUACGGAGGAUCCGAGCGUUAUCCGGAUUUAUUGGGUUUAAAGGGAGCGUAGGUGGACUGGUAAGUCAGUUGUGAAAGUUUGCGGCUCAACCGUAAAAUUGCAGUUGAUACUGUCAGUCUUGAGUACAGUAGAGGUGGGCGGAAUUCGUGGUGUAGCGGUGAAAUGCUUAGAUAUCACGAAGAACUCCGAUUGCGAAGGCAGCUCACUGGACUGCAACUGACACUGAUGCUCGAAAGUGUGGGUAUCAAACAGGAUUAGAUACCCUGGUAGUCCACACAGUAAACGAUGAAUACUCGCUGUUUGCGAUAUACAGUAAGCGGCCAAGCGAAAGCAUUAAGUAUUCCACCUGGGGAGUACGCCUGCAACGGUGAAACUCAAAGGAAUUGACGGGGGCCCGCACAAGCGGAGGAACAUGUGGUUUAAUUCGAUGAUACGCGAGGAACCUUACCCGGGCUUAAAUUGCAGUGGAAUGAUGUGGAAACAUGUCAGUGAGCAAUCACCGCUGUGAAGGUGCUGCAUGGUUGUCGUCAGCUCGUGCCGUGAGGUGUCGGCUUAAGUGCCAUAACGAGCGCAACCCUUAUCUUUAGUUACUAACAGGUCAUGCUGAGGACUCUAGAGAGACUGCCGUCGUAAGAUGUGAGGAAGGUGGGGAUGACGUCAAAUCAGCACGGCCCUUACGUCCGGGGCUACACACGUGUUACAAUGGGGGGUACAGAAGGCAGCUAGCGGGUGACCGUAUGCUAAUCCCAAAAUCCUCUCUCAGUUCGGAUCGAAGUCUGCAACCCGACUUCGUGAAGCUGGAUUCGCUAGUAAUCGCGCAUCAGCCACGGCGCGGUGAAUACGUUCCCGGGCCUUGUACACACCGCCCGUCAAGCCAUGGGAGCCGGGGGUACCUGAAGUACGUAACCGCAAGGAUCGUCCUAGGGUAAA